rfam:TPA: Bos taurus chromosome 13, whole genome shotgun sequence.
UCCCUGAUGGUCCAGUGGCUAAGACUCUGCACUCCCAAUGCAGGGGCCAGGGUCCAAUCCCUGGUCAGGGAA